rnacentral:rRNA from 1 species
UAAGGAAUAUUGGUCAAUGGACGCAAGUCUGAACCAGCCAUGCCGCGUGAAGGAUGAAGGUCCUCUGGAUUGUAAACUUCUUUUAUCUGGGACGAAAACGGGAUUUUUAUCUCAAUUGACGGUACCAGAGGAAUAAGCACCGGCUAACUCCGUGCCAGCAGCCGCGGUAAUACGGAGGGUGCGGGCGUUAUCCGGAUUUACUGGGUUUAAAGGGUGCGUAGGUGGGCUUAUAAGUCAGUGGUGAAAUCUCCGAGCUUAACUUGGAAACUGCCGUUGAUACUAUAGGUCUUGAAUUAUCUGGAGGUAAGCGGAAUAUGUCAUGUAGCGGUGAAAUGCUUAGAUAUGACAUAGAACACCAAUUGCGAAGGCAGCUUACUACAUAUAAAUUGACGCUGAGGCACGAAAGCGUGGGGAUCAAACA